rnacentral:lncRNA from 1 species
CUGACUUGAUUUACAUAAUAAAUUUAUAAAUUAUAUUAAUUCUAGAUAAUAAAUAUUUUUGUGGUUACGAUGGGAGCCACUUAGCAUCCUCUUCCUACUAAUGUGCCAAAAUUUUCUCGAGGGUGCAUACAUUGUUUAGCUUGGAUUCGAAUUGUAUGUUUCAUAUAAAAUAAUGGUUGAUUUCCUUUCGUAACAUUUAUUAUUAGAUUAUUCAAUGCAUAGAUCUCGAAGCAUUUCGAAUGUUUUUAUUCAUAUAUCUAUAUAGAUUUUACUGUAUAUUUGGCUGAGGUCAUGAGAGG